AAGUCGUAACAAGGUUUCCGUAGGUGAACCUGCGGAAGGAUCAUUAACACGUUCUUCAACGUAUCAACCAACCGUGCACAUAUAGACUCCCUGCACGCGUCUCGAGAGAGACAGUGCGGGCUAAACUGGAGGAGUGUGGCGUGGCAGUGGCGUAGUCGUUCAUUCGACUCGCUCUCCGCCCACCACUCGCCUCCUUUUCUGUCACUUUAUUCACCCCUGGAUAUUAUCUCUACAGUUGACAUUCUACGUGGAGCUUGUGUGCGUGCGCCUCGUGUGCUGCACACCUUCUCUCCCACUCGAACUUAUUCGAAUGGUCUGAACACAACUCUUAGCAAUGGAUAUCUUGGUUCUC
rnacentral:misc_RNA from 1 species